UCUCGGACUGUUGUCAAAGAACAUGAACACAUUCUCUUAAUGAAGAUGGCAUGUUAAAAAGACAUUUAGAGGUGCAUAAAAGUUAUAUAUGGCUGCAGGAACUCAAUCGACAUCUGGUGGAGCCCUGUGCUGAAUAAGUAGAAGUUAAACUCGCCAAUCCUCGACUACGAAUAAUGGCAAUCCUCGACUACGGAUAAUGGCAAACAACAUUCUUGAGAUGGCAAGUCGUACAAAUGGCACAAGUUCAGAGUUUUGUGCAAAAAUGCCCAGUAAAAUGUAGAAAUGGUGAAGAUGCUUGGCAGCAUACAGAACAGAUUUAUACUCUCAGGCUUAUGAUUGUAUUAUUUAUUGUUA
rnacentral:lncRNA from 1 species